rnacentral:rRNA from 1 species
GGGGAAUAUUGCACAAUGGGCGCAAGCCUGAUGCAGCAACGCCGCGUGCGGGAUGACGGCCUUCGGGUUGUAAACCGCUUUCAGCAGGGACGAAGCGCAAGUGACGGUACCUGCAGAAGAAGCACCGGCCAACUACGUGCCAGCAGCCGCGGUGAUACGUAGGGUGCAAGCGUUGUCCGGAGUUAUUGGGCGUAAAGAGCUUGUAGGCGGUCUGUUGCGUCGAAAGUGAAAACUCAGGGCUUAACCCUGAGCCUGCUUUCGAUACGGGCAGACUAGAGGAAGGUAGGGGAGAACGGAAUUCCUGGUGGAGCGGUGGAAUGCGCAGAUAUCAGGAGGAACACCGGUGGCGAAGGCGGUUCUCUGGACCUUUCCUGACGCUGAGAAGCGAAAGCGUGGGGAGCAAACA